rnacentral:rRNA from 1 species
AGGGUUUGAUCCUGGCUCAGGAUGAACGCUGGCGGCGUGCUUAACACAUGCAAGUCGAACGAACCUUCGGGUUAGUGGCGGACGGGUGAGUAACGCGUGAGAAUCUGCCCUCAGGAGGGGGACAACAGCUGGAAACGGCUGCUAAUACCCCAUAUGCCGCGAGGUGAAAUGAAUUUCGCCUGAGGAUGAGCUCGCGUCUGAUUAGCUAGUUGGUGUAGGUAAUGGCUCACCAAGGCAUCGAUCAGUAGCUGGUCUGAGAGGAUGAUCAGCCACACUGGGACUGAGACACGGCCCAGACUCCUACGGGAGGCAGCAGUGGGGAAUUUUCCGCAAUGGGCGAAAGCCUGACGGAGCAACGCCGCGUGAGGGACGAAGGCCUCUGGGCUGUAAACCUCUUUUCUCAAGGAAGAAGAUAUGACGGUACUUGAGGAAUAAGCCACGGCUAAUUCCGUGCCAGCAGCCGCGGUAAUACGGGAGUGGCAAGCGUUAUCCGGAAUUAUUGGGCGUAAAGCGUCCGCAGGCGGCUUUUCAAGUCUGCUGUUAAAACGUGGAGCUUAACUCCAUCAUGGCAGUGGAAACUGAAAGGCUUGAGUAUGGUAGGGGCAGAGGGAAUUCCCGGUGUAGCGGUGAAAUGCGUAGAUAUCGGGAAGAACACCAGUGGCGAAGGCGCUCUGCUGGGCCAUUACUGACGCUCAUGGACGAAAGCCAGGGGAGCGAAAGGGAUUAGAUACCCCUGUAGUCCUGGCCGUAAACGAUGAACACUAGGUGUCGGGGGAAUCGACCCCUUCGGUGUCGUAGCUAACGCGUUAAGUGUUCCGCCUGGGGAGUACGCACGCAAGUGUGAACUCAAGGAAUUGACAGGGGCCCGCACAGCGGUGGAGUAUGUGGUUUAUUCGAUGCACGCGAAGAACCUUACCAGGGUUUGACAUCCUGCGAACCUCUUAGAAAUUUGAGGGUGCCUUCGGGAAUGCAGUGACAGGUGGUGCAUGGCUGUCGUCAGCUCGUGUCGUGAGAUGUUGGGUUAAGUCCCGCAACGAGCGCAACCCACGUUUUUAGUUGCCAGCAUUUAGUUGGGCACUCUAGAAAGACCGCCGGUGAUAAACCGGAGGAAGGUGUGGAUGACGUCAAGUCAUCAUGCCCCUUACACCCUGGGCUACACACGUACUACAAUGCUACGGACAAAGGGCAGCAAACUCGCGAGAGCUAGCAAAUCCCAUAAACCGUGGCUCAGUUCAGAUCGUAGGCUGCAACUCGCCUACGUGAAGUAGGAAUCGCUAGUAAUCGCAGGUCAGCAUACUGCGGUGAAUACGUUCCCGGGCCUUGUACACACCGCCCGUCACACCAUGGAAGUUGGCCAUGCCCGAAGUCGUUACUCCAACCCUUGUGGAGGAGGACGCCGAAGGUGGGGCUAAUGACUGGGGUGAAGUCGUAACAAGGUAGCCGUA